UGAUAGACGGUGGGCCGAGGGUCCGUAUCUGCUUUACUUUUCGAAAUGAAUGAUCCCUAUGGAGGGAGAACCUGGAUUUGUAAAGUUGGGACGGUUGUUUUAUUCUCAACGAUAUGAAAUGUGUUGCCACUCCCAUUUGUUGCACAUUUUCCCCGAAAUCAUAAUGCACGAUCCGUAAAUAUGCAGGCAAACGCUGUUGCCUACUAUAUUAGUUGAGCCAAUAGCGCGGCAAGAUACUGACAUGGGAUUAUUACUAUCCAAUCAGAUGUAGUUUAUUUAGAACAGCUGUUACACGAAUGAUUUAGCUAUCGGACACGAGCACCAGCAGCGCAUUGAUCGUCAAGGACAUUCUUUGUGUGAUUUGCACAAGUUCCAGUAUGACAGAUUGUCCACAUAUACAAGAUACCGGGUAUAAUCUCGAUAGCAAGUGAAGUGAUACCGUGCUUCACUAGCCACCAAGUCCCUGUCUUGGAUAUGGAGAAGGAGAGACUCGUCCCUUUUCCCUUCAGCGGCGAGUAGCAAUUUCCCGGCAUGGAGUGUUUCAUACUGUGUUUCACACUGUGUUAGAUUUUCUUUUACCCUUUUCCUGCAGUGUGACUGAACCUUGUACUUCUCAUGUUUGCAUAUAAUGCAUUGUACUGGAAGCAGCUGUGGGGCCCGCUUGGAUGUGUAGGAAUCACGGGCAUAAGAUCUCAGAGCCCUUGUUUUAACUGGAGUUGCUUCACCAUCCUCUGUCUCUACCACUAAAAGUGCAAAACAAUAGAUUUAGGUUCUGCACCCUUCCCCACAUCACUGAUUAAACAAAAAUGGUGUGUAAGUUUCAGCAGGGUAUAUUGGUUCCACCUGUUCCCUUAACACGGGUAAUAAACCUGUUUCACAGCUUUCAGGUGUCCGUCCUUGAGGUUAAUGAGGCCAUAAUAGGAAGGGUUCAUUUUUGCAGGGUGUUUUUAUUAUAUUAGUUAAUUCAUUGUGUAGCUAUAUUAAGUUAACUCAAAUCUAAACUCCCUGAAGUCAUAUCUUUCUUUUUUCUAUCUAUCCUUCUUUCUAGAUUUUUUUUUUUUCUUAUCCAUUUAUUUUUUUCUUUUUACCUGUCUAUUGAACUUUAUUGCCUUAACUUUCGGGCUAGGAUUUAAGCCAACUUAAAAGUUUGCCAAAACAUUUCAUGUAGUUUUUUGUACUAAUAUUAUGUUGUUACUGCAACUACACUGCACAUAUCUGUAUGUGUUGUUCAUACUGUAUAUCUGUUCUGCUCUUAUAUUUAAUUUAUAUUACUGUAAAUACUACUUUCUUAACUGUAUAUUACUGUCCAUUCUGCACUGUACAGGUCAAAAGUUUAGAAAACAUUACGAUUUUUAAUGUUUUUGAAAGAAGUCUCUUCUACUCAA